UCCCCUGUAGCUCAGUCGGUAGAGCGGAUGACUGUUAAUCAUUAGGUCGGCGGUUCGAGCCCGUCCGGGGGAG
rnacentral:tRNA from 2 species